rnacentral:rRNA from 1 species
ACUCAAAGGAAUUGACGGGGGCCCGCACAAGCGGUGGAGCAUGUGGUUCAAUUCGACGCAACGCGAAGAACCUUACCCAGGCUUGAACAGCGAGUGACAAACUACGAAAGUGGUCUUCCGCAAGGACACUCGUAGAGGUGCUGCAUGGCUGUCGUCAGCUCGUGUCGUGAGAUGUUGGGUUAAGUCCCGCAACGAGCGCAACCCUUGUCUGCUGUUGCCAUCACGUUAUGGUGGGCACUCUGCAGAGACUGCCGGUGAUAAACCGGAGGAAGGUGGGGAUGACGUCAAGUCAGCAUGGCCUUUAUGUCUGGGGCUACACACGUGCUACAAUGGCAGAUACAAACCGUCGCGAGACCGCAAGGUGGAGCUAAUCGGAGAAAGUCUGUCUCAGUUCGGAUCGUCGGCUGCAACUCGCCGGCGUGAAGUUGGAAUCGCUAGUAAUCGCGGAUCAGCACGCCGCGGUGAAUACGUUCCCGGGCCUUGUACACACCGCCCGU